UGUGGAAAGUAUCUUCAAUCUCAAGGCCUUCUCACCACUUCUAGACCAAAGCAUGAGUGCCCAAGACCUGACAAAUGCUGCUGCUCAAUAAAGUUCUGAGACUCCAUCCUAAAGGAGGUCACAAAAAGAAGAAAGGAAAGAUCUUUGAGUUUUGCUGCAGUGGCCUUUUUUUCCAGGACAAGAAAUACAAAGGAACGAUGGCUUCAUUUUGUGGCACUGCCUGCCUCUCAGCUCAAGAUGGAGGAGAGCACAAGACACAUGGGAAGCAGAAGCAUCCAGUGACAGGCUGGAAGGGAGGAAGACACUGACUCCGUGUUCAGGUUCACCACGUGCAAGCUGGUCUCCCUUGUGAUGUUGAAAUCUGUAGCAGAUGAAUGGUGAGAGGAGGCUACCAGAUUGGAGAACACGGCCAAAAAGCAAAAUUAGUGGGUAGACCUAUUGCUCCUAGCUUUUCUGAAUGUUGAUAGACCCUACCUCUUUUUCUUGGAACCCACUAUAAUGACGCCCUCACUGCAGAAGAGCCAUGACCCUUUCCACGUAGAACACAAAAAAAUAGCCAAGUUCAAGGAGUGUUUGGACCGUGCUCUCAGACAAAGGGUUUGAGUUUUGGGUGGUUGUGGGUAGAGCCAGAUGUUGGACUCCGUGAUCCCUAUGGGACCCUUCCAACUUGGGACGUUCUGUACUAUUCAGUGAUUCUGAAAACUGUGUAUACUCGUUUUACAGGAGUGAGAUCCUGAAUGGCUUCUGAAUUAGUGGGGAUAGAGAUGGGUGAGAAAAUACAU
ensembl:lncRNA